rnacentral:rRNA from 1 species
UACGUAGGGUGCGAGCGUUGUCCGGAAUUAUUGGGCGUAAAGAGCUCGUAGGCGGUCUGUCGCGUCGGCUGUGAAAACCCGCAGCUCAACUGUGGGCCUGCAGCUGAUACGGGCGGGCUGGAGUUCGGUAGGGGAGACUGGAAUUCCUGGUGUAGCUGUGAAAUGCGCAGAUAUCAGGAGGAACACCGAUGGCGAAGGCAGGUCACUGGGCCGCAACUGACGCUGAGGAGCGAAAGCAUGGGGAGCGAACAGG